rnacentral:hammerhead_ribozyme from 1 species
AUCCAUCUGACGAGUCUUAAAUAGGACGUAACGUGAGUCAUGGAU